CCUACGGGUGGCUGCAGUGGGGAAUAUUGGACAAUGGGCGAAAGCCUGAUCCAGCCAUGCCGCGUGUGUGAAGAAGGCCUUCGGGUUGUAAAGCACUUUCAGUGGGGAAGAAAGCCUUGGGGCUAAUACCCUCGAGGAAGGACAUCACCCACAGAAGAAGCACCGGCUAACUCCGUGCCAGCAGCCGCGGUAAUACGGAGGGUGCGAGCGUUAAUCGGAAUUACUGGGCGUAAAGCGCGCGUAGGCGGUCUGAUAAGCCGGUUGUGAAAGCCCCGGGCUCAACCUGGGAACGGCAUCCGGAACUGUCAGGCUAGAGUGCAGGAGAGGAAGGUAGAAUUCCCGGUGUAGCGGUGAAAUGCGUAGAGAUCGGGAGGAAUACCAGUGGCGAAGGCGGCCUUCUGGACUGACACUGACGCUGAGGUGCGAAGGCGUGGGUAGCAAACAGGAUUAGAUACCCCAGUAGUC
rnacentral:rRNA from 1 species